rnacentral:rRNA from 1 species
CUUUACUAUACGCUGACAUUGCAUUGCUCGUUUGCGUGCGCAGGAUAGGUGGGACCCUUUGAAGCCGUGGCUUAGGCCGCGGUGGAGGGGCCGUUGAGAUACCACCCUCGCGUACGGUCGAUGCUCACCCUGACUCUGAAACGGAGCAGGGGACAGUGUUUGCUGGGUAGUUUAACUGGGGCGGUUGCCUCCUAAAGUGUAACGGAGGCGCGCAAUGGUCCACUACUGCCGGAUGGAAAUCGGCAGCGUCGUGUAAUCGCACAAGUGGGCCUGACUGUGAGGCUGACAGGCCGAGCAGGGACGAAAGUCGGUGAUAGUGAUCCGGCAACCUGGACAUUAUUUAUAGUGUCCUUCCCACGUGGGUGGGUU